CAGUCAAAGUGCGAGUGGCGAACGGGUGAGUAACACGUGGGCAAUCUGCCCAAAAGUGGGGGAUAACACUUGGAAACAGGUGCUAAUACCGCAUCAACCGGCUGACCGCAUGGUCGGCCGGGCAAAGACGGCGUCAGCUGUCGCUUUUGGAUGAGCCCGCGGCGUAUUAACUAGUUGGUAAGGUAACGGCUUACCAAGGUGAUGAUACGUAGCCGAACUGAGAGGUUGAUCGGCCACAUUGGGACUGAGACACGGCCCAAACUCCUACGGGAGGCAGCAGUAGGGAAUCUUCCACAAUGGACGCAAGUCUGAUGGAGCAACGCCGCGUGUAUGAAGAAGGUCUUCGGAUCGUAAAAUACUGUUGUCAGAGAAGAACACGUGAUAGAGUAACUGCUAUGGCGCUGACGGUAUCUGACCAGCAAGUCACGGCUAACUACGUGCCAGCAGCCGCGGUAAUACGUAGGUGGCAAGCGUUGUCCGGAUUUAUUGGGCGUAAAGGGAACGCAGGCGGUCUUUUAAGUCUGAUGUGAAAGCCUUCGGCUUAACCGGAGAAGUGCAUUGGAAACUGGAAGACUUGAGUGCAGAAGAGGAGAGUGGAACUCCAUGUGUAGCGGUGAAAUG
rnacentral:rRNA from 1 species